ACCUACGGGGGGCAGCAGUGAGGAAUAUUGGUCAAUGGCCGGAAGGCUGAACCAGCCAAGCCGCGUGAAGGACGAAGGUGCCAAGCAUUGUAAACUUCUUUUGUCAAGGGACAAAAUCAGGCUCGAGAGCCUGACUGAGAGUACCUGAAGAAAAAGCAUCGGCUAACUCCGUGCCAGCAGCCGCGGUAAUACGGAGGAUGCGAGCGUUACCCGGAUUUAUUGGGUUUAAAGGGUGCGUAGGCGGGAUGCCAAGUCAGCGGUAAAAUCGCGGGGCUCAACCUCGCUCCGCCGUUGAAACUGGCGUU
rnacentral:rRNA from 1 species